rnacentral:rRNA from 1 species
UAAUUAACCCUCACUAAAGGGUAAAAUAUUUUUGGGUACCGGGCCCCCCCUCGAGGUCGACGGUAUCGAUAAGCUUGAUAUCCACUGUGGAAUUCGCCCUUAGAUUAUGAAAGCUAUAUGUGCUGUGAGAGAGCUUUGCGUCCCAUUAGCUAGUUGGAGAGGUAACGGCUCACCAAGGCGAUGAUGGGUAGCCGGCCUGAGAGGGUGAACGGCCACAAGGGGACUGAGACACGGCCCUUACUCCUACGGGAGGCAGCAGUGGGGAAUAUUGGACAAUGGACCAAAAGUCUGAUCCAGCAAUUCUGUGUGCACGAUGACGUUUUUCGGAAUGUAAAGUGCUUUCAGUUGGGAAGAAAAAAAUGACGGUACCAACAGAAGAAGUGACGGCUAAAUACGUGCCAGCAGCCGCGGUAAUACGUAUGUCACAAGCGUUAUCCGGAUUUAUUGGGCGUAAAGCGCGUCUAGGUGGUUAUGUAAGUCUGAUGUGAAAAUGCAGGGCUCAACUCUGUAUUGCGUUGGAAACUGUGUAACUAGAGUACUGGAGAGGUAAGCGGAACUACAAGUGUAGAGGUGAAAUUCGUAGAUAUUUGUAGGAAUGCCGAUGGGGAAGCCAGCUUACUGGACAGAUACUGACGCUAAAGCGCGAAAGCGUGGGUAGCAAACAGG